rnacentral:rRNA from 1 species
AUUGAACGCUGGCGGCAGGCCUAACACAUGCAAGUCGAACGAGUGGCGGACGGGUGAGUAAUGUCUGGGAAACUGCCCGAUGGAGGGGGAUAACUACUGGAAACGGUAGCUAAUACCGCAUACCAUCGGAUGUGCCGAGAUGGGAUUAGCUUGUAGGGGGGGUAACGGCUCACCUAGGAGACGAUCCCUAGCUGGUCUGGGAGGAUGACCAGCCACACUGGGACUGAGACACGGCCCAGACUCCUACGGGAGGCAGCAGUGGGGAAUAUUGCGCAAUGGACGCAAGCCUGAUGCAGCCAUGCCGCGUGAGUGAAGAAGGCCUUCGGGUUGUAAAGUACUUUCAUCGGGGAGGCGUUACCCAAAGAGGAAGCACCGGCUAACUCCGUGCCAGCAGCCGCGGUAAUUC